rnacentral:rRNA from 1 species
UUAUAAAAUACAUCAUUAGUAGUAGUAAUACUACUAAUUAUAGUUGAGUUUGAUGAUGGCUCUGAAUGAACGCUGUCCAAAUGCUUGACACAUGCUAAUCGUACGGCGUACUUUAAUAUAAAUUAAUUUUAUAUUAUUUUAAGCAGUGGUGUACAGGUGAGUAAAAGAUAUUCUAAUCGCCUUAGAGUUAGGAUAGAUCCCUUAUAUUAACAAAGAAGACUAUAAAUUCGCUCUAAGAAGUGGGUAUCUCGUGUAGUAGUAGUUAAAGUAAAUGUUUAACUAGCUUUAUUUAGUUUGAAUACACGUAGUCGUAACUGAAAGGUUGAUCGACCACAAUGUGGCCUGAAGAAAGCCCAUGACAAAUGUUACAGCAGUGAGGAAUAUUGGUCAAUAGCCUAACGGCUGAACCAGCAACUUGGAGGAAUGUAAGGCAAUAGCCUUAUGCAUUAUUUUAAUGUUUAAUCGACCAUGUCGAAUAAAAUUCUAGGUAGAGUUUUGACAAUGACAUUCUCUAUCUAUGUGUCUUGACCAAAUUACGUGCCAGCAGUCGCGGUAAUACGUAAAAGACUAGUGUUAUUCAUCUUUAAUAGGUUUAAAGAGUACCAAGACGGUUAAUAAAGCCCCUAAAGGGUACAAAUUAACUAGAGUUAUAUGAAAGGGAGCUCUUAGGUACUGUUGAGUGUAGAGAUGAAAUUCUGUGAUACCAGAUGAUUGGCACGGGUCUAUGCGAAGGCAUCUCCUUAUGUAAUAACUGACGUUGUAGGACGAAGGCUUUUGAAGUGAACAGGAUUCGAUACCCCAGUAAUCUAGGCAGAAAAUGAUGAGUGUCAUAGGUUAAAUAUAAUUUAGUCUAUAAAUGAAAGUGUAAGCAUUCCACCUCAAGAGUAAUUUGGCAACAUUGGAACUGAAAUCAUUAGACCGUUUCUGAAACCAGUAGUGAAGUAUGUUGUUUAAUUUGAUGAUCCGCAAAGAACCUUACCACUUUUAAUAAUGUUAAAAUUAUUAUUUUUUUUUUUUUUUACAUUGUUAAAAUUAUUAUCUUGAAUAAAUAUUUUUUUAAUAUUUACAAGUGUUGCACGGCUGUCUUCAGUUAAUGUCGUGAGAUUUUGGUUAGUUCCAUUAAAUUAACGAAAACCCUUACUUUAUUUUUAUAUAAAGUUGUUCACCGUUAUAUUGGAUAUGAUAAUAGGGACCAGGACAAGUCAUCAUGACCUAAAUAUUGUGGGCUAUAGACGUGCCACAUAAGCCUUACAAAAGGAUGCUAAAUUGCGAAAUUAAGCUAAUCCCCUAAAAUUGGGUAUACACAUUAUGGAUUGUAGUCUGUAAUUCGACUGCAUGAAAUAGGAAUUACUAGUAAUCGUGAAUAAGUACGUCACGGUGAAUUUGAUCUCAGAUAGGUACUAACCACUCGUCAGGCGCUGAAAUUAGUGUGCGCAAUAAGUUUGGUUACCGUUUUCUCAAUUUGGAUGAUUAGAUCUUAAAAUUAAGCUAAGUGAUCUUCGUAUGAGUGACUCUGAUUAGUGUUAAGUCGAAAUAUGGUUCGUGUAGUGGAAAUUGCACGGGAAUAAUAAAUAUUA